ACUUAUGUACUCUCACUCAAAAGUCGUACAACUUAGGCCACAUUCUAUUCUUCGUUUCAAGAUUCAACAUUUAAUGUAGAUUAUGAUUUUUAUAUUUAUAUACAGAAUUAUACGUAUUUUGUAGGAUUGUUGAAGUGGGUUCCACUUCAAGGAAAACUCCACAUCUUUUCUAAAGUUUAGUUUUCUUAGUCCUGGAAGCCAUUGAGUACUGUUUAGCACUAAAUCAAUUUUAAGGGCCUCUCAGGCUCGUAGUUUUCUAGGAAUAUGCUUUGCAUAGAUGAUGAAACAGGGUACAGACAGGGAAUACCACUGGGGGACAGCAGCAAUAAGCUACAUAAAUAAACUAGAGUCGCCACAAUGGAAGAUACUGAGAACAAUAGUUAAUGUCCCAUGGAAUGUCAGAAACGAGGAUAUAGGCAGACUUAAACAUACCAACGGUCAAGGAAGAAAUCGGCAGGUACGCAGAAAAAUACAAGGAAAGAACGGUAACACAUUCAAACCAGCUGGCUACACAAGCGAGCGAAACUCUCAUAGAAAGAAGACUACAAAGGGAACACCAUACUGACUUCACUAAAGAAAUAAAAUAGUCAAACUCGAAGAUCGUAUCCCACUGGGGGUAGCC
rnacentral:misc_RNA from 1 species